AUUCCAAAAUUUUACUAACAGAAGGAAUUGCAUGUGAUCAUUGAACAAGUAAUUCAUUCUUAUGGAUUAGAUACUAGCAAAUUUAUUAAAAAUGGUGACAUUAUUUUAUACUCUUUAGUAAAAGCAGUGACAUCAUUUAAUUUUAUAUACUACCACUACUGGUAAUACAUAGAUGGUUUUAGGGGGUAUCUUGAGACCAGGUUUCUCUUUUUUGUUUAAACUGCUUCAUUGUGAAUGUCAGGAAAAUCAUAAAGCUUAACACCUGCUCUUGUUUGAUAACUUUUAAUUAGAAGCAGCUGUUUGGUAGUCAGCUUAAUUAUACUGCUAAGUUUUGGUGUUAGCAGUAUAUAGAGCAAGCUACAGUAUGGUUUGGACACGGCUCCUUUUAAAGUGUGGUACUUACUGCCUCUUAGCUAGUCUUCUGGCAAGACAUCCUGCUACUGGAGGAUGCUGUACAGUGCAUUGCUUACUCAGCUCUGAUCUUACAAAGGCUUACAGAUGCCUAACUCUAAGGGGCUUGUGAAUAUGCAUCAUUGUCAUUAUGCAAAAAUGGGAGAGACUGAACCCAAGAAAAGGGAAGUG